AAACUAAUUUAAUCUGACGGUAUUUCAUCUAAUUAGAGGAAUUUGUCCUUUAAUCGAUAUUCCACGUUAAAUUUAACUUCAAUUCAAAACUUAUAUACCUCCAUUUCAAGAAUUAAUUUAAAAAUAUUUCUCCCAAAAAUAAAUAAAAAAUUAGGUCAAGGUGUAAUUUAUAUUGAAGAAUGAGAUGAAUUACAAUAAAUAUAAUUUAAAGAUAAUUGAUAAAUAUAUUUAUUUAAAUAAGAAUUUAAAAGUAAUAUUUUAAUAAUAUUAUAAUAUGAUAUAGAUAAUAAAUAUGUACACAUCGCCC
rnacentral:rRNA from 1 species